UACUAUGAUAUGCUUAAAAGCAUGUUACAUUAAAAACAUUACAAGUAAGAUUAAAAAAAAAAAAAAACUUAGUUCCCCAAAUCAAGGCUCUAACAAUCUUGGCAUGCUGCCAGUUCUUUUUGGCUGAUGUUUAUAUUUUGUGUUAAGACAAUAAUUCCUUUCAACUCCAAAAUUCUGAACCCCUAAUAACCACCAGGGCCCACGACUAUCAUUUGAGAUGAAUCAUGUGACCUGUUUUGAAUUUCACCCCAACCAAACGCUUCCAUUUUAAAACUCAAGUUACCCAAGUUAAAAACCAAGUUCUCCCCCCACGCCCCAAUUUCAAACAUGCAGAAGAACAGAUGGGAGAGAACAAGGUGACUCACCUUUGCUUUCUAAGUAGACUUUGAAUAACAAGGAACAAGUGAAAGGGACAAUUAUCAGUAAUUUUAAAAUAGAGAAUUCCAGUACAGAUCAGAAUAUUCACUCAGGACUAUGUGCAGCAGACCUUUAGACCUGGGCAGCAAGGGAAGAUGAACAAUUGGAUGUGCUAGGAAAACUUUACGGAAUUUUAUUCUUGGGGAUUUAAGAAAACAGGGGCAAAGGCAUACAUGUAAGCAAGGUCAUUUGUAGUAGAGUCCUUAGGAAGAAACUCUGGGGUUUUGGCACCUUCUAGAUUAUUACAUUGUUUGAGAUAUACAAACUGUUCCCUCAACAUGUUUCAAAAUGAAACUGGUAAUGUG
rnacentral:lncRNA from 1 species